AUGUGGGCGACAGGGUCCCUGGGGGACCUGCUCCUCAACGCCAAGGUUGAAGAGGCCAAGGAAGGUGCCGAGCCUCCUGCCAGUGACUCCUGCCCCCGGGGGAAGCCACCUCAGGGAGAGGCUUUCAGGGAAUGGCUCUCCAUGGAGGGCCUACUCCCGGAGCAAGGGGUGCGAGCUCUGCCUUCUCAGGACUUGGUCCUGGCCACAGCAGGCACUCCACAGGAGGUGGGAGAGGCCCCAGGCCUGCUGACAGGCACACCCCAGGUGAGUGGGCUUCCUGGACUCUUCCGUCCCCCGCAGCCAUGGCCAGCAGCCUAAGCGUUAGCUGCUUUCCCUCCUUGGAGAUAACGGUCCCUUCUCUCCCCAGGCUGGGACCCUCCCAGCGAGCACCGGGGUAAUGGAAAGCUGCUGGAGGCCGAGUGCCUGACCCAGGCCCCCAGGUCGUGCUUCCUCCACAGGUGCUGGGGGGGCCUGAGAGAUCCCGGGUCUGAGCCCCUCAUACCCAUCCUGCGGGUGGGAAAGACGGGUCCAGCAUCCUAUAGGAGGUAGGGUCAGCGGCAGGAAUAGGACCGGAAGCUUGGAUGAGGAUGGGAAUCCCCGGCCAGCUGAGGCUUGGCGCAAGGGUCCAAACUGAACCAAGAUCCUGGACUGGGUAAAAAGAGACUGCCUGGGGCUCCAAGGAAAGUAUAUGAGAGCGGUCCUCAGCACCGUGACGGGCGGUCAUCCAGUGGAGACAGGGGCCGCGGGUGAACCUUGCAGGCUGGAUCUCGGGAGAGCCUUCAUGAGGAGCAGGGUGGUCCCCGUGCGGUGCCCACGGUUCCCAGCCAAGGGCUGAGGCAGCUGCUCUCUGCUGGGAUGGGUCAGGAGUGGGUGGGUGUCACCGCUGGGCCCCCAAGAGCAAGGGCCGUUUGUUCUCUCUCUCAUUCUGUUACGAGGGAGGGCUCGCAGGGGCAGGGAGUGACCUCUUGGGGAGGGCAGUGGUGCAAGAAAGAGCGAUACCAAAACUAGGAUUCUUUACGAGUGCGAGUGCGAGCAGAGCCCCGGCAGUGACUGGCCUGGCUGGCUGGCCGGAGGAAGGAG
rnacentral:lncRNA from 1 species